GUAUCUUUCCUAAAAACUUUAAAGAAUUCUCAAUGCCAGAUAGUUACGCAAGUAAUAUAUCUCGUUGUAUUGAUUUGGAUCAAAAACGAAUCUUUGGAUUAAAAAGCCAUGAUUGUCACAUCAUUAUGGAACAAUUGUUGCCGAUUGCAAUUCAUAAUGUGCUUCCAAACCACGUUGUUGCAGUUUUGGUAGAGUUUUCUUCCUUUUUUAGACAUCUUUGUCUGAAAAACUUGAGCCUCUCGGACCUAGAAAAGCUACAAGAUCGGAUUGUAAUCACUCUUUCCCACCUGGAGAUGUUGUUCCCUCCAUCAUUUUUUACUGUAAUGGUACACUUAACCGUCCAUCUAGUGGAUGAAAUAAUACAAGGUGGCCCAGUACAUUACCGGUGGAUAUAUUUUGUAGAAAGAUUCUUAGGUCAUUUGAAGUCCCUGGUAGGAAAUAAACCACAAGCAGAAGGUUCUAUAGCUGAAAGUUACAUAUUUGAAGAAGCUCUAAUUCUUUGUUCUCGGUAUUUUGAGGAUAUUGAGUGUAGAGUAAAUAGGCCUAAGCGUUUCAGUGAUGAACCAAAUCAUAGCAAUGCUUCUGAAAGGUCAUCUAUGUUCCCUCAACAAGGUAAACCGGUUGGAGGCUCCACAACAUUCUCCUUGACUCCUUUGGAGAAAACUCAAGCUCAUCGCUAUGUGUUACUCAAUUGUGCUGCAGUGAAGCCAUUUAUUGAUGAAUUUAGGCAACACAUCAAAAGGAGUUCAAGAGGGCGAAGACCUUCAGCAAUAGAGGUAGAGAGAAGAGUUACUAAAGAGUUCUCUGAUUGGUUUCCAAAGCGAAUUAUGAAUCCGGAUAUAGCAAACACAAUAUCUGAUGAUAUUAAGUUCUUAGCACAAGGUCCAGCGCCAAAUGCAAGAAGAAGAUUCACGGCUUAUAACGUUAAUGGAUUCAAAUUUCGGAUUUUGUCUAGAGAACAAGGAUUGCAAACUCAAAAUAGUGGAGUUUUUCUUAUUUCUGACACUUUUUGCAUUUCAUCGAAUGCUGAUAGAAAUGCGAGGCAAGCAGACUUGCCAUAUUACGGGAAGCUGGAAGAUAUUAUUAAACUUAAUUAUUAUGGCUGGUUCAAGGUUGUGCUCUUCAAAUGUCAGUGGGCUGACACUACUCUGGAUAGAGGGUUCAAAAGAGAUGUUUGGAAUUUUAAUUGUAUCAAUUUUUCUAAAUUGAUUCACACCAGUGAUUGUGAGGAUCAUGAUCCUUAUAUUGAAACAUCUCAAGCAAAUAUGGUUUACUAUGUUGAUGAUGAAAAUGAUGAAGGAUGGAGUGUGGCUGUACAUCUAAAGCCAAGAGAUUUAUUUGACAUGGGAGAGGUUGAUGUGGGAGAGGUUGAUGAAGAAGAAGUAUAUGAGAACGAGCCAUACCAACAACAAGAAUUUGAACAAUUUUUUGAUGUUGGUUAUGAAAAUAUCCAAAUUGCAAUAGAGGAGCAUAUGUCUGGAUAGAUAUAGAGAAGCAAUGUUCAAUGUUUAUAUCAUAUAUAUGCCGAAGACCAAGCGUUGGCACAACUUGCAAAAGUCAAUUCAGGGGAAUGUAUAACCAGCCCUGUCAGUUCAAGCAACAACAAAGCCGGCUUCGUCGGUUCCAUCACAGUUCGGUUCGUCAGUUCAGGCAACAAAAAAGCCAGCUUCAUUGGUUCAGGCCACAUCACAGCUUGGUUCGUCAGUUCAGGCCACAUAACAAUUGGCUCCAUUGGUUCAAGUCGCAUCACAACCGACUUCGUCCUUUCAUUCUGCAUCACAGCCGACUUCGUCCUUUCAGUCUACAUCACAGCCGACUUUGUCCUUUCAGACCGUAUCACAAUCGGCUUCAUCCUUUCAGACCAUAUCAUAGCCAACUUCAUCAGUUCAGGUCGCAUCACACCCUGCACCAUCCAGAAAGCGUAUUGAACGUGAGUCAAUGCAACAUUGGAUUGUAGAUGCUAUAGAUGGCUGAGACUGGACGCGCACAGCUUUAUCUUGAUACUCAUAAGAAACAAGAUGGAACAUAUGUGAAUGAGGCGGCAAAGGAGAUAUGUG